GAGGCCUCCGCAUGUCCACUCACGCCGGGAAGAUGGCCGAGAAGGAAAGAUAUGCUAGAGGCUUGGCCUGGAGGACGAAUGCCUAUGAACCAGGAUUUGCAGAAUGUUCCUGAAGUCGAGCGCUAGGAUUAUACAACUUUAACAAGAUGGCAUAGAUCCUCUUUCCCUAAAGUCCCGUCUAGGCAUUGCUAUGAAGCACCGAGUAUGGAAUUUACCAAGGAUCUGCUCAUGUGGAAUGGGAAUAGUCCACCAACAUUCAACUUUGUACUGAAAUCUCAAAAUACAUUUGAGAUGACUUUGUAAGAAGCUGGAUACACUCCUAAGGACCAUGAUUGCUUGAGUAAAGGUAAGAUCUUUGCCAAUGUUCAGCUAAAGUAACCUUAACCUAGUAUUAUGAUGACAAGAAGAUAGGGACAUAUGAUAACUGUGAUUAUUUAUCGUUGGGAAUCUCUCUGAAAUUAAAAUUUGUAAAAGAUAAUGUGCACAUUUAUUUCCUGUUGCUUAUAAACCAUAUUACUUGCAGGUUGAGGUGUACCCCAUGUCCAUGCUUUCAAGAGGUGAAACAAACCUUUAUAGCGGUCAUCUGACAGCAAACAAGUGAAGGUCAACAUGGAAGAUCAAGUUUGUUCAGUUAAGACCUUGAAAUUGCUACUACUUACUCUCCCACUUACCUGCUGUCUAGUAUAAAUUUUGGAGGAAAGACAUUGGGGGAAAUUAUCAUCACUUGAAUAUGCAUCAAAGAAACCUUCCCUUGGCAGUCUUAGUGUGCUAAAUCAGAUGCCAAAAGCUACAGGUCUCAAGAUGAAAGGGAAUAUUCUUGCUUUAACCGUCCCUUCAUGUGUCGGCAGCUCUGAGCAUAGAUCCACCCCGGCUACUUGUGUGCAUAGCUGAAAAGGGGCAUUAUAAGGUUUCAGAUGGAACUUCUUUACACCCCUACAUCCAGUUGCUGGAGAUCCUGGAAAUGACACCAAAGGGAUUGUGGAUGAUGGAGCACUCGCAUGGUCUUGGCUGCUCAGUGCGGAGAGCUGUGAUUUCCCACUGGUUGGAAUGGUUUGAUCAAAGUUUAGGGAACUAAUUUUCUAAUUGGUUCUGUGAAUAAAUUUUCUUAAUAAAGGUAUUCGUGUUA